GAUUUCUAUUGUGGUUAUAAACAUCGGUCGUUAAAUUAACCGAUGUGUAAACUUUCGUUCAAAAAUUUUGAAAAAAACACGGAGGGACUAAGUUAAAAAGUUUGAGAAACGCGGGGUCCAAAAUUUUAAUUCCUCCAACACUUAGUCAUUUUGUCUGAAACUUUCGAACCCUAAUUGAUAAACUCUCACUGCCUCCUUCUUCGCGUUCCCGACCUCAGCUCCUUCUCCAAUUAACCUGACCCGCGCCCCCGACCACAGCUCCUUCUCCGACCUGACCCGGGGCCCCGACCUCAGCUCAGAGCCUGGAGCUCGUUCUUCGUCCUGACCUCGAGCUCAUUCUCCGACCUAAGCCACCUCAAGCCUUUUCUCCGACCACCACCAGCGUCCGGUUUCGAAUUUGAUUUCUUCUAGUUGAGGGAUUCAAGUUGAUUUUGCUUCCGCCCGAAACCCUAUUCAACUCUUCCCGUGAUUUGGUAAUUUCUUUCCGAUUGGCAAAUCUCUCUUUUCUAACUUUGUUUCCGACUUUCCAGGUUGCCCAAGCGAAGAAGCCCAUCAUUGCUCCUCCUCCCAAAAGCCAGUGGAUUUUGAUUUAUGAUGCGAUUGCUUUUAAAAUUGUUGCAAUAUGGGGACCAAGAGGGAUUUCAGCACUGCGAUUCUCGAACAGAAGAAGGCAGUAAAUCUCCUUGUCGUCGAUGAAGCCAUCAACGAUGACAACUCCGUCGUCACUGUCCACCCUGAGACCAUGGAGAAGCUCUAGCUAGCUCUUUAGGGGCGACACAAUCCUCAUCAAGGAUGUCUCAAAGAGUGUGACAAAACUUGCCGUGAGAGAAUCCCGAGCUCAGGAUUUGAGGAAUGAAAUUCUCACCUCUAAAAAGUGACAAGGUUCUGAGCAAGAAGCCCCCUACUCCUCACCUGCGAGUUGUGGCUGAUUAUCUGUUGGAUGCAACAACUAAAGAAGCCAACAAGAGAGUUAAGCUUGCGAGAGCUGCAAUGGGUAACAACAACCCUGGUUGCCGUGGAUUCAAGAAAGAUAAGGACCGCCUUAAGUCUCUCAGUGCUCAGGGACCCAAGAAAGGAAGAUGGGAAAGAAAAGAUGGCAGUGACAACCAUAAGCAAAAAAGGCAAAAGACUUAAUUUAUCUAUUUAUCUCAUCCAUGUGUUGUAUAGACAGAGGGUUUAUUAGCCACCUCCCAAUUUGUUUCAAUCCUUAGUGUUGGUAUUUGGCUUUAAAGUAGCUCAUGUAUCAUUCAUUGAUUAACUACAGAAACAAAGGUGAGAUACAAAACAAUGAGACAGAAAUGAUCAUAUAAUCAUCCUCAU